UUCGGUUGGAAUCGGGGUGGCGUUCCGGCAGCGACUGGCGAGCGGCCGCGGUUGGGGAACGCGGCUGAGAGGGGCGGCGCGCGAGAGCAGACGCUCGCCGCCGCCGCCGCCGGCGGUUGGGGAAGACGCAGUCGGCGGCGGCUGGGAGGAGCAGCCGGCGGCUACCACCACAUCACCGGCCACCACCCCAAGGUCCACCGCUGACGGAAACCAGCGUCCUAUCGACGAUGUCUUCCCAGAACUGCAGCGAUGGCAUGGAGCUUAGAAGAGCUAGAUUAGGGAGGGGUUGUCAUGGCUAGCUGCGGCUCUUGUUGGAGGGUUUCUCGCGCCGUCGCUCCUUGCUGCUACAGCUGCCGGCGCCGCUGGUUGCUGCUAGGUGCCGCUGCCGGCUGCCGCCGUACUCUAAUCUUGCCUCCCGUCGCAGCCACCAGAACCUGUGUGUCCUCGUUGCUCGUCCACCAAGGAGGGAAAAAAGGAGAUGGCAGGGAGAUAGCCAGCACCCCUGUUGCAGGUUUGCUCUGUCCGCACAAGCAGGACCUGGGAAGAGGGAUAGAAAGACAGAAUUAAAGAAUAGGAUUUUGGAAACCCAGGCAGAAUCACCUUCACCUUCUCGGCUUAGUCAACCAAUUGCAGGAUUCGGUUUCAGCGGGAGCAGGGCGCACUGGAGUUUCUUUUGACGUCGUUAUGAAAUCAGGAGGCUGGGGUGAUAUUACCAAGGUGGAAAUGGAUCCAUUGUUGUUGCCGCUGCUACUGGAAAAAAAAUUCUUGCUGUUGACGCUUGCAGACUGAAGCUAUCGCAGCUGAAAUUGUUAUCUAUUUGGCAAAUGAUCUCGCUGUCUCUCAAAAAAAGUUGGCAAAUGAGCUUGGUGUUUACACGCCUAUGAGAUUUUCUCUUGCUUUAGCUUGACGGCAACCCAUUCAUCCAUCAGAAGUUCCUUGUGCUCUGCUGUGAUUUGAGUAAUAUUUUGCAGGUUGUUGCCUCUUGAAAUGAGCAAAUUGACCUGGGCACUUCUCAUGACUCAGCUUUCAGGCAAAUCAUUUUCUAUGACUGCCAGUGUAGAUCAUGCCAUGAUUAACGUGGCUUUUUCUUGAGAAUAUUACCACUCCUUCACUUAGGCAUCAGCAGAGAAUGUUGCAAAUGGAGUAUAAACACUGCAAUCUCAUCAAAAAAGACCUCUCGGAAGAUCAUUUGCCGAACAAAUUGUUCUAUAUGCAAAGAAAUUUCAACAUCUAUAUGAAGUUCAGGAGACGGAUCCUAGAUAACUCUUGCAAUUUGUCACGGCUCUCUUUUUUUUUGGGAAAAUUUGUCACGGCUCUCUCAGUGUAAUUAGCAUUGGAAAGUGAAGUGAUCACAUUACCUGUUCCUGAAAUUAGUUAACUGUGCUGAGUUACUUCUCAGCUCUCGCCCAAAGGAAAAAGUAUACUUUGUGCCCG